rnacentral:lncRNA from 1 species
GUUUAUUUUUGUUCUUUGCAAUCAACCACAAGUUUAUUUCUUUACAAGUCUUAUAAGGUCAAUUUACAUGAAAGAUAAGGCCUAAGAGUCCUUUGGGAGACGAUACUCGGACUUACCAUUUAUAUAUUACUUGAUAACGAUCUGGUACACUUGCCAGGGGCUUAACAUGCGACUCGGUACACUUGCCGAUUUACCCCAACAACGCUUAAAUUGUUUCUCCUUUUUCUUCCUAAGAUCCUUCUUUGGGUGAGGAAGGGGUUUUUCAUAUGAUUCUUUCUUUUUGCUUUCAUCCUUCCCCUCUCUCUUUUUCUCCUUGGGACACUCCAUAUGGCACAAAGGACUUUUCUCAAUUUUUUUCUUUUCUCUUAACCCCUUCUUUUUCUUCCUCUACAUCCUUCUCUUUUUCACUCAAACAUUCUUUUUCUUCUUCCCUCUCUUUGUCCUUUUCCACCUCUUCAUUCAAACUUUCUUCUUCUUCUCUCUCUAUUUUUCUCUCAUCUAAAGCCUUGCCACCUUCAGUGAUAGUGACUUGACAUUCCUUUCUAGGGCUAUCAUUCAUAUUGGCCCCAAGAUCAUCCAGCUUCUGAAUUAUGAAUCUGCAUUGCACUUCCAUCCUUUCGGCAAGUGUACUGAGUCGCACAAGUAAUAUAAAAUGGUAAGACCAAGUAUC